UACGUAGGGUGCGAGCGUUGUUCGGAGUUAUUGGGCGUAAAGGGCGUGUAGGCGGCUUGAGAAGUCUGAUUUGAAAUGCACUGGCUCAACUGGUGCGCUGGGUCAGAAACUUGCAGGCUAGAGUUCAUAGGGAGGAACUGGAAUUCCAGGUGUAGGGGUGAAAUCUGUAGAGAUCUGGAAGAACACCGGUAGCGAAGGCGGGUUCCUAUGGAUGGACUGACGCUGAGGCGCGAAAGCGUGGGGAGCGAACAGG
rnacentral:rRNA from 1 species